GACCGGUAUGGCAACAUCAGCAUCGCGCUCCAGCCAGACCGGCACCGGCGUGGACGCCGACCCGGCGGUCCGCAGCCCACUCCUCGCCGCUCACCGACACACACACGCGCAGAUUGUAGGUGUGGAUGCAGAUGUCCGUGAACAAGCCAAUGGGGAAGUUGGUACAAAUGAGGCAAGCAAGAAAGAGAAAAGUGGCAUAUCUUAUGGAAUUGAUGAUGUUCCUCCCUGGUACUUAUGUAUAUUUAUGGCAUUGCAGCAUUACUUAACAAUGAUUGGAGCUAUAGUAUCAAUUCCUUUUAUUCUAUGUCCUGCACUCUGCAUGAAAGAAGACGAUCCUGCAAGGGGACACAUAAUAUCCACAAUGAUAUUUGUUACUGGAAUAGUAACAUUCCUGCAGACAACGUUUGGCUGUCGGCUACCAAUAGUGCAGGGAGGAACUAUAUCAUUUUUGGUUCCUACACUUGCUAUUUUGAGCCUUCCAACAUGGAAGUGUCCGUCAGAAGAAUUCAUUACUUCUUUAAGUCCUGAUGAACGGCAAGAACUUUGGCAAGUUCGAAUGAGAGAGCUUUCUGGUGCAAUAGCAGUAUCUGCCUUGGUACAAGUUUUUAUUGGUUAUUUUGGCAUAAUUGGUGUUAUCCUCAAAUAUGUUACACCUCUCACCAUUGUACCAACAGUCUCAUUAGUUGGUUUGUCCCUCUUUGAGAAUGCUGCUGAUGCAGCAUCACAACACUGGGGAAUAUCAAUGGGGACUAUCAUCAUGCUGACUGUAUUCUCUCAGUGCAUGCGAUCAGUCAGUGUUCCUGGAAUCAGUUAUAAAAGAGGUCAAGGACUAUCUUUGGUCUGGUUCCCAUUGUUCAAGCUUUUCCCAGUUCUUCUUACAAUCUUAAUAAUGUGGGGUAUCUGUGGCUUGCUGACCUUAUUUAACAUACUUGAAAUAGGCCACCCUGCCAGAACUGACACAAAGAUACAAAUUCUAAUGGAUUCACCUUGGUUUCGGUUCCCUUAUCCAGGUCAGUGGGGAAUUCCAACUGUCAGUGCAGCUGGUGUGUUAGGAAUGCUUGCUGGUGUGUUAGCCUGUACAGUUGAAUCAAUUAGUUACUACCCUACAACAGCUAGAAUGUGUGCUGCUCCACCUCCACCUGUACAUGCAGUGAACAGAGGAAUAGGCACAGAAGGACUGGGAACAGUGCUAGCAGGUCUCUGGGGUAGUGGUAAUGGGACCAAUACAUUUGGUGAAAAUGUAGGAGCAAUUGGCGUUACUAAGAUUGGCAGCCGAAGGGUUAUACAGUAUGCCUGUGUAUUAAUGUUAUUGCAAGGCAUCAUUAGUAAAUUUGGAGCAGUUUUUAUCAUCAUCCCAGAGCCUGUUGUUGGUGGUAUAUUUUGUGUUAUGUUUGGAAUGAUUGCAGCUUUUGGUACUGUAAUAAAGAAAGAUGGUGAAGGAAAACCUGAAGCUGGGACAGGCUGUGGGCCUACAUUCUUAGUGAUUCAUAGUGGAAAAUGUUCUUCCUCUAAUGCAGAGACUCAUGCCACAGAAAUACAAAGACUUUCUGAAUUACAGCUUUGACUGGGUUGUCUGCACUUCAGUAUGUAGAUCUAAAUUCAUCAAGAAAUCUAUAUAUUCUGGGAUUUUCUAUCUUUUUCCCAUUGGUGCUUUCAAAAUGGAUGGUAAAGCAGACAAAUGCUAU
rnacentral:misc_RNA from 1 species